CACUUAAAUUUUAAUUUCAGAUAAACAAUGAAUAACUUCUUAGUGUAAAUAUUUCACAUGCAGUCUUUGGGACAUACUUAUACUAAAAAAUCAUUCAUUGUUUAUCUGAAAUUAAAAUUU
rnacentral:miRNA from 1 species